rnacentral:rRNA from 1 species
GAAUAUUGCGCAAUGGGGGCAACCCUGCCGCAGCAACGCCGCGUGGACGAUGAAGGCCUUCGGGUUGUAAAAUCCUUUUUUGAGGGAAGAGAGUGACGGUACCUCUGGAAUAAGUCCCGGCUAACUACGUGCCAUCAGCCGCGGUAAAACGUAGGGGGCGAGCGUUAUCCGGAUUUACUGGGCGUAAAGCGAACGUAGGCGGCAUUGUAAGUUGGGCGUGAAAGCUCUUGGCUUAACUAAGAGAGGUCGUUCAAUACUGCGAUGCUUGAGGUUGAUAGAGGAGAGUGGAAUUCCCGGUGUAGUGGUGGAAUGCGUAGAUAUCGGGAGGAAUACCAGUGGCGAAGGCGACUCUCUGGGUCACACCUGACGCUGAGGUGCGAAAGCGUGGGGAGCAAACAGG